GCCUGACGCAGCAACGCCGCGUGCGGGAUGACGGCCUUCGGGUUGUAAACCGCUUUCAGCAGGGACGAAAUUGACGGUACCUGCAGAAGAACGCCCCGGCCAACUACGUGCCAGCAGCCGCGGUAACACGUAGGGGGCGAGCGUUGUCCGGAUUUAUUGGGCGUAAAGAGCUCGUAGGCGGCUUUGUCAGUCGGGUGUGAAACCUCCAGGCUCAACCUGGAGCCGCCACCCGAUACUGCAAUAGCUAGAGUCCGGUAGGGGAGCAUGGAACUCCUGGUGUAGCGGUGAAAUGCGCAGAUAUCAGGAAGAACACCAGUGGCGAAGGCGGUGCUCUGGGCCGGAACUGACGCUGAGGAGCGAAAGCGUGGGGAGCAAACAGGAUUAGAUACCCUGGUAGUCCACGCCGUAAACGUUGGGCACUAGGUGUGGGUCUCAACCAACGAGAUCCGUGCCGAAGCUAACGCAUUAAGUGCCCCGCCUGGGGAGUACGGCCGCAAGGCUA
rnacentral:rRNA from 1 species